GAUGAACGCUGGCGGCGUGCUUAACACAUGCAAGUCGAACGGAAAGGCCCAAGCUUGCUUGGGUACUCGAGUGGCGAACGGGUGAGUAACACGUGGGUGAUCUGCCCUGCACUUCGGGAUAAGUCUGGGAAACUGGGUCUAAUACCGGAUAGGACCACUUCUUGGAUGUUGUGGGGGAAAGUUUUUUCGGUGGGGGGUGAGCUCGCGGCCUAUCAGUGUGUUGGUGGGGUAAUGGGCUACCAAGGCGUCGACGGGUAGGCGGGCUGAGAGGGGGUACCGCCAAAAUGGGGCUGGGGUACGGCCCCAGAUCCUACGGGGGGCAGCCGUUGGGAAUAUUGCACAAUGGGCGGAAGCCUGGUGCAACGACGCCGGGUGGGGGAAUACCGGCUUCGGGUUGUUAACUCCCUUCGCUAGGGGCGGAACGUUUUGUGACGGUACCUGGAGAAGAAGCACCGGCUAACUACGUG
rnacentral:rRNA from 1 species